rnacentral:rRNA from 1 species
GCAUAUCAAUAAGCGGAGGAAAAGAAACCAACUGGGAUUACCUUAGUAACGGCGAGUGAAGCGGUAAAAGCUCAAAUUUGAAAUCUGGUACUUUCAGUGCCCGAGUUGUAAUUUGUAGAAUUUGUCUUUGAUUAGGUCCUUGUCUAUGUUCCUUGGAACAGGACGUCAUAGAGGGUGAGAAUCCCGUUUGGCGAGGAUACCUUUUCUCUGUAAGACUUUUUCGAAGAGUCGAGUUGUUUGGGAAUGCAGCUCAAAGUGGGUGGUAAAUUCCAUCUAAAGCUAAAUAUUGGCGAGAGACCGAUAGCGAACAAGUACAGUGAUGGAAAGAUGAAAAGAACUUUGAAAAGAGAGUGAAAAAGUACGUGAAAUUGUUGAAAGGGAAGGGCAUUUGAUCAGACAUGGUGUUUUUUGCAUGCACUCGCCUCUCGUGGGCUUGGGCCUCUCAAAAAUUUCACUGGGCCAACAUCAAUUCUGGCAGUAGGAUAAAUCAUUAAGAAUGUAGCUACCUCGGUAGUGUUAUAGCUUAUUGGAAUACUGCUAGCUGGGAUUGAGGACUGCGCUUCGGCAAGGAUGUUGGCAUAAUGGUUAAAUGCCGCCCGUCUUGAAACACGGACC